UACGAGGGGGGCGAGCGUUGUUCGGAAUUAUUGGGCGUAAAGGGCGCGUAGGCGGUUUGUCAAGUCUGAUGUGAAAUCUAUGGGCUCAACUCAUAGUCUGCAUCGGAAACUGCCGGGCUUGAGUAUGGGAGAGGUGAGUGGAAUUCCUGGUGUAGCGGUGAAAUGCGUAGAUAUCAGGAGGAACACCUGUGGCGAAAGCGGCUCACUGGACCAUAACUGACGCUGAUGCACGAAAGCUAGGGGAGCAAACAGG
rnacentral:rRNA from 1 species